UGUAUCUGAAGCCUGACGAGGAUGAGAACCUCCGGGGGCAAGAGGUUCGACCCGAGCGAAGCGAGAGAACGUUGCGUCAGCAACGGCCCGCAGGG
rnacentral:sRNA from 2 species